GUCUGCUCGUUCUUAAGAGCAGUCUGGCCUGCCCAAUGAUUUAUUUUUAAUGGCCGCGGUACCCUGACCGUGCGAAGGUAGCAUAAUAAUUAGUCUUUUAAUUGAAGACUGGAAUGAAAGGUCGGACAAAAAACAAUCUGUCUCAACCUUAAAAAUUGAAAUUAACUUUUAAGUGAAAAGGCUUAAAUAAUCUAGAAGGACGAUAAGACCCUAUAAAACUUUAUAUUUGUAAAUAAUAGACCUCUAAUUGUUUGUUUAACGUUGAAUAUUUUUUAUUAUAUUUGGUUGGGGCGACAGAAGUAUAAACUUAACUGCUUUUUUAUUUAUACAAUCAUUCUUGUAUUAAUUUGACCCUUUUUUAAGAUCAAAAGAAAAAGUUACUUUAGGGAUAACAGCGUUAUUUUUUUUGAGAGUUCUUAUCGACAAAAAAGUUUGCGACCUCGAUGUUGAAUUAAAGUUUUCCUUAUAAUGCAGCAAUUAUAAAGGUAGGUCUGUUCGACCUUUAAAACUUUACAUGAUUUGAGUUCAAACCGGUGUGAG
rnacentral:rRNA from 1 species